AGGACAACCUAAUGAUGCGGCAGUUUUUACAAUUUCUUCAACAAGUUUAUCAUUUACAUCAACUGUUGCUUC
rnacentral:tRNA from 2 species